UCAACCCCAACAGCUCUAUCCUGAAGGGGUUUCUUCACUUCAGAGACACCCCGAUAGCUCUAUCCUGAAGGGAUUUCUUCACUUCAGAGUCACCCCGAUAGCUCUAUCCUGAAGGGAUUUCUUCCCUUCAGAGUCACCCCAAUAGCUCUUUCCUGAAGGGAUUUCUUCCCUUCAGAGUCAACCCCGAUAGCUCUUUUCUGAAGGGAUUUCUUCAGAGUCACCCCGAUAGCUCUAUCGUGAAGGGAUUUCUUCACUUCAGAGUCACCCGAUAGCUCUAUCCUGAAGGGAUUUCUUCAUUUCAGAGUCACCCCGAUAGCUCUAUCCUGAAGGGAUUUCUUCCCUUCAGAGUCAACCCCGAUAGCUCUAUCCUGAAGGGAUUUCUUCAGAGUCACCCUGAUAGCUCUAUCCUGAAGGGAUUUCUUCCCUUCAGAGUCAACCCCUAUAGCUCUUUCCUGAAGGGAUUUCUUCACUUCAGAGUCACCCCGAUAGCUCUAUCGUGAAGGGAUUUCUUCAGAGUCACCCCGAUAGCUCUAUCGUGAAGGGAUUUCUUCAGAGUCACCCCGAUAGCUCUAUCCUGAAGGGAUUUCUUCACUUCAGAGUCACCCCGAUAGCUCUUUCCUGAAGGGAUUUCUUCCCUUCAGAGUCAACCCCGAUAGCUCUUUCCUGAAGGGAUUUCUUCCCUUCAGAGUCAACCCCGAUGGCUCUUUCCUGAAGGGAUUUCUUCCCUUCAGAGUCAAGCCCGAUAGCUCUUUUCUGAAGGGAUUUCUUCAGAGUCACUCCGAUAGCUCUAUCGUGAAGGGAUUUCUUCACUUCAGAGUCACCCCGAUAGCUCUUUCCUGAAGGGAUUUCUUCCCUUCAGAGUCAACCCCGAUAGCUCUUUCCUGAAGGGAUUUCUUCCCUUCAGAGUCAACCCCGAUAGCUCUUUUCUGAAGGGAUUUCUUCACUUCAGAGUCACUCCGAUAGCUCUUUCCUGAAGGGAUUUCUUCCCUUCAGAGUCAACCCCAAUAGCUCUAUCCUGAAGGGAUUUCUUCCCUUCAGAGUCAACCCCGAUAGCUCUUUCCUGAAGGGAUUUCUUCCCUUCAGAGUCAACCCCGAUAGCUCUUUCCUGAAGGGAUUUCUUCACUUCAGAGUCAACCCCAAUAGCUCUAUCCUGAAGGGAUUUCUUCACUUCAGAGUCACCCCGGUAGCUCUAUCCUGAAGGGAUUUCUUCACUUCAGAGUCACCCCGAUAGCUCUAUCCUGAAGGGAUUUCUUCACUUCAGAGUCAACGCCGAUAGCUCUUUCCUGAAGGGAUUUCUUCACUUCAGUGUCAACCCCAAUAGCUCUAUCCUGAAGGGGUUUCUUCACUUCAGAGUCAACGCCGAUAGCUCUUUCCUGAAGGGAUUUCUUCACUUCAGUGUCAACCCCGAUAGCUCUAUCCUGAAGGGAUUUCUUCCCUUCAGAGUCAACCCCGAUAGCUCUAUCCAGGAAGGGAUUUCUUCACUUCAGAGUCAACCCCAAUAGCUCUAUCCUGAAGGGAUUUCUUCACUUCAGAGUCACCCCGAUAGCUCUAUCCUGAAGGGAUUUCUUCACUUCAGAGUUACCCCGAUAGCUCUUUCCUGAAGGGAUUUCUUCCCUUCAGAGUCAACCCCAAUAGCUCUAUCCUGAAGGGAUUUCUUCCCUUCAGAGUCAACCCCAAUAGCUCUAUCCUGAAGGGAUUUCUUCAGAGUCACCCCGAUAGCUCUAUCGUGAAGGGAUUUCUUCAGAGUCACCCUGAUAGCUCUAUCGUGAAGGGAUUUCUUCACUUCAGAGUCAACCCCGAUAGCUCUAUCCUGAAGCGAUUUCUUCAGAGUCACCCCGAUAGCUCUAUCCUGAAGGGAUUUCUUCCCUUCAGAGUCAACCCCAAUAGCUCUAUCCUGAAGGGGUCUCUUCACUUCAGAGACACCCCGAUAGCUCUAUCCUGAAAGGAUUUCUUCACUUCAGAGUUACCCCGAUAGCUCUAUCCUGAAGGGAUUUCUUCCCUUCAGAGUCAACCCCGAUAGCUCUUUCCUGAAGGGAUUUCUUCACGUCAGAGUCAACCCCGAUAGCUCUAUCCUGAAGGGAUUUCUUCCCUUCAGAGUCAACCCCGAUAGCUCUAUCCUGAAGGGAUUUCUUCACUUCAGAGUCACCCCGUUAGCUCUUUUCUGAAGGGAUUCUUCAUUUCAGAGCAAAUUGGGCCAGAGGAGAGGAGGAGGGCUCAGGUCAGGCUGUGGCCUUCGGGUCUGUGGGAGAAGAAAAGGGGAGGCGACUGGCUGGAGAAGCCAGCCGGUAAGGGCCUCGAGUCCCGGGCCGUGAGGAUGUUCUAAUCGCCUUCUAUCAGACCCUCCUUGGCAAAGUGUAUUUCUAGCCAUUCUAACCACUCCGAAUUUCGCCACAGCGAUGAGCGAUGGGAGUUGGGAAAACUGCCCUCGAAUGGAAGUUUCCUUUCUCCAUAUCUAUUUUGGAAGCAAAGCCAAUGUCUUCAUCUCCCGUGGUCCCCCUCUGCUGACUCCUGACUCUCUCCUGACUGACUCCUCCUGUUGGGCUCCUUGUCCCUAAUUUAAAAUUUGAAGUGGCCGCUUCACCCGCGGCUCCAGGAGAUGAGGAAGAGACUCCAGUGUCCUGACCACCCCUGCCCCAACCCAGCCGGCCGGGGAGACCCCGGCUGCGGCGGCGAGGCGCCAAAUGUGAGGUCGAGUUACCUUUUAGACACCUCUGGGAGGGAUUCGGGACAGAGAGCCGCACCAGAGAGGAAGAGGCCAAGGCAGAAGUCGACCGGGGGUGCAAGCUGACACGUGGAGACCGGUCCACCCCUGAGAGAAGAUGGGAGUCGACCUGUCCGUCGGAAAAAAAUAAGUAUCGAGUCAGCCGCUGCCCCCCAAACCCUUGGAAACCUUUACUGCCCUUAUCAAAUCAUUUGAAUCAGGAUCAGUCUCUCUCACAUUUGUAGAUUCCAGUUGAGAAGGGGUUGGGACUUUUCCUCCCAGAAUAUUUCCCCAAUCCAUUUUCAGGAGAAAGAACUCUGGUUAGGAUGUUGCUUUUCCUGCUCAGAAUCCAGUCGGGAGAGAGAAGGGGUAAGGGGAGCUUUUGAUGAGGAAGAAAUAAAAAAGGAAAGUCACAGAGAGAUUAAAAAGAGAUUUAAAUUUCCCCGGGCAAUUUAGCUCCUGUCCCCUUCAAAAGACAGAAUAAAGCACCCUGAGAUUAGGCUCCCCACUGAUAGAACAGUUCACUCUCCUGACUACUGAGAUUGGGAUUAUAUUCCCUGUGAGGCUUGGAUUGGAUUUGGAGAGAGAGAAAAGGAAACUCUUGCACAUCCUCUGAAGGUGUGUUUCUGAAUGUGAUCUGGAAAAGAAUUCCUGCUGUAAAGCGGUGGUAGAGUCUGAAUUGAAAUCCAGGUGGAUAUUUUUCAGAGACUUCACCUACCUACUUCUGGGAGCGCCCCCGACCGGCCGGCAUCCAUCCGGGCAGAGAGCUGCAGCCUCAGACGUCGGCAGAAGCUGACCUGCAGGAGAGCGAGGAGGGCGAGAUGAAAAGAUGCUGGCAGCAGCCAAGAUAGGAAACCAGGACCGUGGCUCGGCUUCUCCAAGGAUACCGGAAGAAUGAAGACUGCCGUGAGAGAAGACCUUUCUUCUGGAUCGAGCAGCAAGUGGUGGAUGAAGGGGAAACCCUUUUGGGCCCCUACCUGAUCCUUCCAGGCAUAUCCUAGGUCUUUGGGGCCAGGAAGAUGGAGGAAAAACUAGUUUUCCUUAGGCAAAGAAUCUCCGGCUUUUAAUUAUCGACUGCAGAUCUUCACGGCCCGAAAGGUUCCAGUGGUCCGUUUGAGAAGGAAAAGGGAGGCGACUGGCUGGAAAAGUAAGAAAUCAUGGCCUCGACUCCCUGACAGCAAGGAGGUUUUCAUCGCGUCCUCGCCAGACCCUCCUUUGCAAGGUGUAUUUCUAGCCACUGCGUAAUUCGCCACACCACAGGAACGGGCAGUCUAAAUGAGGAAGACUGCCCUCGAAUUGAAAUUUCCUUACUCCAUAUCUAUUAGGAAGCAGAUCAAAUGUCUGCUUCUGUGGGUCCCCCUCUCCUGACUCCUGACUUUGGGAUCCUUGUCCCUAGGAGGUUUGGAUCGAUGGAAAGAGAGGGAAUUGAAAGGACUUGCCUGUCUCAGAGCCAUAUGCAUUAAUGAUGGCUUGGGAAAAGGAAUUCCUUCCCGUUCCCUAGGAAAGCCCUCUUACCUCUCCAUGUUCAAACCAAGGUUUGAAAUUUGAAGUGCCCACUUCACCCGCGGCUCCAGGAGACGAGGAGGAGACUCCGUUGUCCUGACCACCCCCGCCCCAACCGAGGCGGCCAGGGAGAUCUCGGCGGCAGCAGUGAGGCGCCAAAUGAAAAAGAAUGAAGAAAGCUUUGUAAUGUCUGUAAGAAACCCCAAACCAAGGCCAGAAGCCACUGUGUUACUUCUCCUACUGUACAGUGAGGUCGAGUUGCGUUUUAGAUUCCUCUGCGAGGAAUUUGGGACAGAAAACUGCACCAAAGUGGAAGAGGACAAGGCAGAAGUCGACCGGGGGCUCAGGCCAACACGUGGAGAGCGGGACACCCCUGAAAGGAGAUGGGAGUCGACCUGUCCAUCAGAAAAAAAUAAGUAUCGAAUCAUGAACUAAUCCCUGAACUCUUCGAAACCUUUACUGCUCCUAUCGGAUCCUUUGAACCAGGAUCAAUCUCUCUCCCAUUUUUAGAUUCCAGAUGAAAAGAUGUUGGGACUUUUCCUCCCAGAAUAUUUCCCCAAUCCAUUUUCAGGAGAAAGAACUCUGGUUAGGAUGUUGCUUUUCCUGCUCAGAAUCCAGUCAGGGCAGAGAGGGGGAGGUAUGGGGAGCUUUUAAUUAGGAAGAAAUAAAAAGGAAAGUCAAAGAGAGAUUAAAAAGAGAUUUAAAUUUAAACAAUAAACCACCCUAAGAUUAGGCUCCCCACCAGUAGAACAGUUCACUCUCCUGACUACUGAGAUUGAGAUUAUAUUCCCUGUGAGGCUUGGAUUGGAUUUGGAGAGAGAGAAAAGGAAAUUCUUGCACAUCCUCUAAAGGUGUGUUUCUGAAUGUGAUCUGGAAAAGAAUUCCUGCUGUACAGCGGUGGUAGAAUCUGAAUUGAAAUCCAGGUGGAUAUUUUUCAGAGACUUCACCUACCUACUUCUGGGAGCGCCCCUGACCGGCAGGCAUCCAUCCGGGCAGAGAGCUGCAGCCUCAGACGUCGGCAGAAGCUGACCUGCAGGAGAACGAGGAGGGCGAGAUGAAAAGAUGCUGGCAGCAGCCAAGAUAGGAAACCAGGACCGUGGCUCGGCUUCUCCAAGGAUACCGGAAGAAUGAAGACUGCCGUGAGAGAACACCUUUCAUCUGGAUCGAGCAGCAAGUGAUCUUCACGGCCCGAAAGGUUCCAAUGGUCCGUUUGAGAAGGAAAAGGGAGACGACUGGCUGGAAAAUUAAGAAAUCGUGGCCUCGACUCCCUGACAGCGAGGAGGUUUUCAUCGCAUCCUCGCCAGACCCUCCUUUGCAAGGUUUGAAAUUUGAAGUGCCCACUUCCCCCGCGGUUUGAAAUUUGAAGUGCCCACUUCACCCGCAUGCUCCAGGAGACGAGGAGGAGACUCCACUGUCCUGACCACCCCCGCCCCAACCGAGGCGGCCAGGGAGAUCCCGGCGGCAGCGGUGAGGCGCCAAAUGGUAGGAGAAAUUCUUCGCUUGGAUUGACCGAGAUGGUGAUCGACAGGGUCUCGGGGACCAAGAAGGCAAGUUAGGUGGGUGGGAAGGAUUGACUGUAACCUUGGGUACCCGGGAAAUCUGAAUGACUCGUCCAACUUUUAACUUUCUUCUUUUUCUGGAAGAAAGAAAAUGAAGAAAGCUUUGUAAUGUCUGUAAGAAACCCCAAACAAAGGCCAGAAGCCACUGUGUUACUUCUCCUGCUGUACUGUGAGGUCGAGUUGCGUUUUAGAGCACCCCCGACCUGCAGGCAUCCAUCCAGGCAGCUGCAGCCUCAGACGUCGGCAGAGGCUGACCUAGAGGAGAGCGAGGAGGGCGAGAAGAAAAGAUGCUGGCAGCAGCCAAGAUAGGAAACCAGGACCGUGGCUCGGCUUCUCCAAGGAUACCGGAAGAAUGAAGAUUGUCAUGAGAGAAGACUUUUCAUCUGGAUCAAGC